rnacentral:lncRNA from 1 species
CGAAGAUUCUGCUGCAUGGAGGACCAUAUCAUUUAUCUUAGCAAGUGACGGGACUUCUGAGAAUGAAAGGAACCCUAUUAAUAAUCAUCCCAGGACAGCAGACAUACACAGAGCUUGUCUCGGGCGAACCGGGACCCGUGGUCUCCUCCUCCACAGGCAGCUGACUCCCUGGCAGGCUUCUUGGCAGCGCAGACACCCAGUGCACCCACAUGCUCUUCCAGGCUUCUCCGUGGAGCGGGUGAGGGAAGGCGGGAGGAUGGAAGUCUCCACACACACGAGGACGGCUCAGACAGUGGAAAUGCUAGAACAGAUCAGUACUACGCCCAGCUCCCACUUCAUCUGAAGAAACUGACCCUUCAGAACACGCACUGGAAUUUCCAAAAGAAACCAGAGUUUGGCGGUAAAUCACAGAGGAGGCCUCCAAAGCCUUCCUCCCGCAAUUGCCAAAAUGAUUCCAUCCGCCUCACAGGCUAGUCUUUAAAUGGCGUUCCGGUGCCAGGCCAGUCCUGUCUCCCCAACUGCAGUCAUCCAGCUGGUUUGAAGCAGAGAUGAAGAUCAAUUGGAGGUUCAAGCCAGGACUCGGGCCACAGUGACGAGUGUCUGCUGGGGCCCUAAAACUGCUCCCUAUCUGAACAGGACACAGCUGUUGUGAUAUUCUAAAGUGGGCGUGCCAGUCCAAGAGGCAAAUAUGCAGAGGAAACACCCAACACUGGUUUAGUGACCUCCAACUCCUCGUCAGUGUCAAGUGCAAAGGGCCAGGCUGACGGCAAUGAAGGGGAGGGACUUUAAAGGGGACCGUCAGAGGAGUUCUCAGUGCGCUGGGUCCCACAUCUCCUCCUGGGGGCCUGGGAGCCCGCUCCUCAUCUCCAGGCUUUGGGAGAAGGACUUUCAUGGGGCAGCUUAGAGAGCUCACUCUGUCUCCCCUGCAGUAAAUGGCACUUGGGGACUGCUGCCCCCUUCCCACUGCGGGAGCAAAGGCAAGGUGGCUGCACUUCCAGAGCUCUCCUGGACAAAGGACACCAUAAAAUGGGGCACGUGCCAGGGCUGCUGUGGGACUUUGUCAGAUCCUGUCUGCAGGGCAGCCUGGAGAGGAGAAGCGGAAGGUCCUUCAGCGCUGCAGAGCAGUAACAACCAGCCCGAGAACAGGAAAUUGAGGCAUGAGAAGUGAAGGGACUUGCCCACAGUCAUACGUGCAGGACGAAGUAGUGCAGAGGUUGGAACCCAAGCAGUUUGCCUCCCUUUAGCGCCCUGCUUCCCCACAGAAAAGCUGUCUCUAGGGUGAUAAAGUGAGAAUCUAAAGACACAUGGUGAAACCUUAAAAAAAAGAAAAGUGAAUGAAGCUAUUGUAAAUGUUGGUUAUUCGUUCCCAAAAAGGAGGAGAAAAGCCAAAGAAAGAGGAGAGAAAGGAGUCAGCAAGAAAGAAGAGGGGGAGGGCUGUGGGCGCAGCCAUCAGUGAGAAUUCCUCAGCACAAAUAUGGAUUUCAAAGGUUUCCACAGAAGUUUUGCUAUAUGCACCCAAUUGUCUUCAGCAUCAUGUUGGAGGGACUGAGAAAACAGGAGAAAGCACUGUGCCCCUGGUUUGGGUCAAAGGAACUGUCAAAAUGAAAAACAGCUACGAGAUGCAGAGAGGAGAACAAAACUUGGCAAAAAAACUAAUUCAGUGGGAAGUUGAUCAUGAAAAACACCUUAGGAAUUCAGAGGAAUCUUGCCAAGGCUUUGGACUUCUGCAAUCAAUGGGAAAAGGUUUGAAUCAAGCUUAUGCUUAUGUAGAUCUCAAGAGGUCCUGCAAUGCCAGUGAAACCUGAGCUAUACUAUAUGAACGAAACACAACAUCUUCCCAAUGAGGAGCUGCCUGGCACAGCUUUUCAUGAGGCACUAAAGAGAUGACAUCAG